GGCGAACGGGUGAGUAACACGUGGGCAAUCUGCCCUGCACUCUGGGACAAGCCCUGGAAACGGGGUCUAAUACCGGAUAUGACUGUCCAUCGCAUGGUGGAUGGUGUAAAGCUCCGGCGGUGCAGGAUGAGCCCGCGGCCUAUCAGCUUGUUGGUGAGGUAGUGGCUCACCAAGGCGACGACGGGUAGCCGGCCUGAGAGGGCGACCGGCCACACUGGGACUGAGACACGGCCCAGACUCCUACGGGAGGCAGCAGUGGGGAAUAUUGCACAAUGGGCGAAAGCCUGAUGCAGCGACGCCGCGUGAGGGAUGACGGCCUUCGGGUUGUAAACCUCUUUCAGCAGGGAAGAAGCGAAAGUGACGGUACCUGCAGAAGAAGCGCCGGCUAACUACGUGCCAGCAGCCGCGGUAAUACGUAGGGCGCAAGCGUUGUCCGGAAUUAUUGGGCGUAAAGAGCUCGUAGGCGGCUUGUCACGUCGGUUGUGAAAGCCCGGGGCUUAACCCCGGGUCUGCAGUCGAUACGGGCAGGCUAGAGUUCGGUAGGGGAGAUCGGAAUUCCUGGUGUAGCGGUGAAAUGCGCAGAUAUCAGGAGGAACACCGGUGGCGAAGGCGGAUCUCUGGGCCGAUACUGACGCUGAGGAGCGAAAGCGUGGGGAGCGAACAGGAUUAGAUACCCUGGUAGUCCACGCCGUAAACGGUGGGCACUAGGUGUGGGCA
rnacentral:rRNA from 1 species